rnacentral:rRNA from 2 species
AGUAGUCAUAUGCUUGUCUCAAAGAUUAAGCCAUGCAUGUCUAAGUUCACACCCUUGUACGGUGAAACCSSGAAUGGCUCAUUAAAUCAGUCGAGGUUCCUUAGAUGGUCCAAAUUUACUUGGAUAACUGUGGUAAUUCUAGAGCUAAUACAUGCCCACCAGCUUCGACCCGUGCAGCAAUGUAUGGGAAAGAGCGCUUUUAUUAGUUCAAAACCAGUCGGGUUUCUCUCUCGGGAGGGCUCGUCCGUUGGUGACUCUGGAUAACUUUGUGCCGAUCGCAUGGCCACGAGCCGGCGACGCAUCUUUCAAAUGUCUGCCCUAUCAAAUGACGAUGGUACGUGAUCUGCCUACCAUGUUGGCAACGGGUAGCGGGGAAUCAGGGUUCGAUU